UACGGAGGGUGCAAGCGUUAUCCGGAUUCACUGGGUUUAAAGGGUGCGUAGGUGGGUCUGUAAGUCAGUGGUGAAAUCUCCGAGCUUAACUCGGAAACUGCCAUUGAUACUAUAGGUCUUGAAUCCUCUGGAGGUAAGCGGAAUAUGUCAUGUAGCGGUGAAAUGCUUAGAUAUGACAUAGAACACCAAUUGCGAAGGCAGCUUACUACGGAUGUAUUGACACUGAGGCACGAAAGCGUGGGGAUCAAACAGG
rnacentral:rRNA from 1 species